rnacentral:misc_RNA from 1 species
UACUGGCAGGAUCAACCAGGUAGCAUUCCUCAUCGACGCCGAACACCGCUUGAACCAAGCCGCGAGGGCUAGGCCAAAACAGGAACGGUCGUCGUCCGCGUGAAGCAUGGAACGCUUGUUUUCGGGGCAAGAUAGAGGUCGGCGACCUCAUACCCAUUCGGUCUUCCGCAUCCGAGGGACUAAGCGCAAAGCCGUGUGCCGACGACCAAAAACACACAUCGAGUUAGGUGCUUUGGUCACGGAGCACGGCAAGUGCUUCGAUGUCCACCCCGCACCGCAAUCCCGAGAGGCGCAGCACGAGGGGGAAAUAUGACAUUUUUGUAACAGCAUGCCACCACGAUGGGUAUGCAGCACAGGAAACCGACACCGGUCAAGGCAAACUCGCAACUUGGGCCAACCAUUGAAGAGGCGAGCACGGGGUGCCGUCGCUGCCCGAGCAGGGAACCGACACGCCCAUACAAGCCAAUCA